ACUGUUAAAGUUGAUUAAUGUACGUUUGUAGGUUUAUAAACCCAUUAGUAGAACCCCGCGGUUUCACUCGCGUAACUUACGAUUCCGUGGGUAUAUCGGAAUAAAAAAUAGUCUAUAACAUUCCUCAAGAAUAAUAUGGGGUAUAGAUUCAAAAGCGCCUCUGUCCAGUUUUUUACCCAACACGUUUUUAGACGUGCAAAGCCGUCUCUAUCUCAUACUAAAUUCAAUUUGAAAUUCUCGGUGAGGUGCAAAAACGCCUCUAUUAUUUAAUGUAGUAACAAAAGCGCUUGUAUCCCGCAGCGACCAAUCACAGAGCCGGGCUGUGUUAGUUAGCGUAAUGGCGUCCGCGUGUUGUUUCUUGAACAUUUCGUCCCGUUAUUUUAUUGAUUUUUAAUAGUAAAAGAACGCAAAAUGGAAGUUAAUAAUGCAUCAGUGCAGCAUAAUAAAGGAAGAAAACGGAUCCGCAAUGAAAAACAAUGGAAACGUAACGUGCAAAAGCGUGCAAGGUAUUCUGCUAAAAGACCACCGGAUAUAACUGAUA